UUGUAUACUUCUGUGCCAAUUAUUUAAUUGGGUCAUUUUUAUUGGAGUUUGAUUUCCUCGGUCCAUUGUAUAGUUUGGAUAUUAGCACUUUGUUGAAAAUAGGAUUGAUGUGUUCUUUUCCUAAUGUGUAGACUGACAUUUAGUUUCAUUGAUAUUGUUUCCUCCUUAUAGAAGUUUUCAGUUUCAUGAGGUCUCAUUUAUUAACUUUUGAUCCUAGAGCCUGAUCUGUUGGUGUUCUGUUCAGGAAGUUGUCUCCUGUACCAAUGAGUUCAAGGCUCUUUCUAGCUUUCUCUUCAACAGAUUUAGUGUGUCUGCAGUUAUAUUGAGGUCUCUGCUCCACUUGGAUUUGCUAUUUAUUUCAGGGAGAAAAAUAUGUAUCUAUUUGCAUUUUUCUACAUGCAGAGAUACAGUUAGACCAGCAUGGUUUAUUGAAGAGGCUGUCUUUUUCCAUUGUACGGUUCCGGCUUCCUUGUCAAAAAUCAAUUGACCAAAGAUGUUCAUUAUUGAGAGGUUGUAGUGGUGGAUUUUUCUUUCGGAGAAAUCAAAUGUUCAAACUACUCUCACAACAGCAAUCCAAAACAAACAAGCUGUUUUUGGAUGAACUACAAUUUUGUCUCAGACUCUGGUCCUCUCCAAAGUCACUGUGGACCAUGAUGAAAUCGUACAGAUUGUUGAAGAAAGAACCAAACAUGUUUUUCACCCACAUGGAGGAACCAGGUGUAGAGCCCCAGGGCUAUGGGAUUCCAAGAGUACAUGGAUGAGAGGAAAACAGAACAAUAAAAAGACAGCAAAUUCAGAGCAAGUCUGGCUACAGCAACAGAAAUAUCUCAGUACUGUGACCCUCAGAUGUCUGGACUUUGCUGCAGUGUGUAUGCUGGCCUCUCAUGAGAACCAUUGUGUAUGCACAGACUGAGAGCCUGAAGCAACAGUAGGAAGCAGCUGUAGCAUUCAAAGUCUUCUCUGAUAUUGUUGAGGUCUGAGCCUGUUCCAAGGCCUAAGCCAAUAAUCUCCUUGGAUCUGCCUUGACGCAGGGGUCUGUCUCUGUGUAGUGAAGAACCUGACAUGUCCCUUCCUUUGCUUUGCCUCAGCCUCCUCCUACAACCUGUGUAUGCAUCGAUGGAGUUUCCUCUGUUCACUUGUGGUUAUAAAGGAGAGACCAACACCUACAUGGAGGCAGAUGUUAACCUCGCUACAUUUAUUCCCAUUUCCAUCCCACUUGAUCUAUCACAAUACCUCCAUAUCCUUUUUGACAGAAAACCAACUCUACUAUGGAAGUUCGACCUAGUGACUUGGAGAAACUAUCAAUAUUUGCUGACCUUAUACUUUGCCAUUGAAGAGAUAAAUAAGGACUCAAACCUGCUUCCCAAUAUGACCUUGGGUUCCCACAUCUACAAUGCUUUUAAUUCUAACAAAAUAACCUUGGAGGACCCUC